GACGAACGCUGGCAGCGUGCUUAACACAUGCAAGUCGAACGGAAAGGCCCCCAUCUUGGUGGGGGUGCUCGAGUGGCGAACGGGUGAGUAACACGUGGGUGAUCUGCCCUGUACUUCGGGAUAAGCUUGGGAAACUGGGUCUAAUACCGGAUAGGACCAUGGUUUAGUGUCUCAUGGUGGAAAGAUUAUUGUUUUGGUGCAGGAUGAGCUCGCGGCCUAUCAGCUUGUUGGUGGGGUAAUGGCCUACCAAGGCGUCGACGGGUAGCCGGCCUGAGAGGGUGGACGGCCACAUUGGGACUGAGAUACGGCCCAGACUCCUACGGGAGGCAGCAGUGGGGAAUAUUGCACAAUGGGCGCAAGCCUGAUGCAGCGACGCCGCGUGGGGGAUGACGGCCUUCGGGUUGUAAACUCCUUUCGUUAGGGACGAAGCCACGCUUUUGGGGUGUGGUGACGGUACCUUUGUUAAGAAGCACCGGCUAACUACGUG
rnacentral:rRNA from 1 species